rnacentral:tRNA from 1 species
CGGAGCAUAGCGUAGUCCGGUAGCGCGUCUAGUUUGGGACUAGGAGGUCAUGUGUUCAAAUCACAUUGUUCCGA